CCUACGGGAGGCAGCAGUGAGGAAUAUUGGACAAUGGGCGCAAGCCUGAUCCAGCCAUGCCGCGUGCAGGAAGACGCAUCUAUGGUGUGUAAACUGCUUUUGUACGGGAAGAAACACUCCUACGUGUAGGAGCUUGACGGUACCGUAAGAAUAAGGAUCGGCUAACUCCGUGCCAGCAGCCGCGGUAAUACGGAGGAUCCAAGCGUUAUCCGGAAUCAUUGGGUUUAAAGGGUCCGUAGGCGGUUUAAUAAGUCAGUGGUGAAAUCUGGUCGCUCAACGAUCAAACGGCCAUUGAUACUGUUAGACUUGAAUUACUGGGAAGUAACUAGAAUAUGUAGUGUAGCGGUGAAAUGCUUAGAUAUUACAUGGAAUACCAAUUGCGAAGGCAGGUUACUACCAGUGGAUUGACGCUGAUGGACGAAAGCGUGGGGAGCGAACAG
rnacentral:rRNA from 1 species